rnacentral:rRNA from 1 species
ACAGAUCUUGGUGGUAGUAGCAAAUAAUCGAAUGAGACCUUGGAGGACUGAAGUGGAGAAGGGCUUCGUGUGAACAGUGGUUGAUCACGAGUUAGUCGGUCCUAAGUUCAUGGUGAAAACCAAAAAAUAUAUGUUAUUAAAAAUAAAAUUAUGAAAUUGAAACAAAAAUAAUAUAUAUAAUAAUAUAAAAAAUUAUUAUAUAUAAUAAAAAUUGAAUUCAAUAAAUAAUAUAUAAUAAAUAAUACAUAUAGUAUGAACGAAAGGGAAUACGGUUCCAAUUCCGUAACCUGUUAAGUAUACGUUUGUUAUUAAAAAUGGGCUUUUAUGCUCAUCCUGGCAACAGAAAAAAUCAUAAAGAAACCGUCGAGAGGUAUCGGAAGAGUUUUCUUUUCUGUUUUAUAGUUGUAUCACCAUGGAAGUCUUUCGAAGAGAGAUAUGGUGAAUGAACUAGAAGAACAUAGCAUAUACUGCUGUGUCGAUAUUUUCUCCUCGGGCCUUGAAAAUUUAUGGUAGGGUUACCCAAACUUCUUAACAGGCCGUACCAAUAUCCGCAGCUGGUCUCCAAGGUGAAGAGUCUCUAGUCGAUAGAAUAAUGUAGGUAAGGGAAGUCGGCAAAUUAGAUCCGUAACUUCGGGAUAAGGAUUGGCUCUGAAGAUUGAGAUAGUCGGGCUUGAUUGGGAAGCAAAAAAAUGGAUUUAUGUGCUCAUUCUGAGUUAAAUAUGAUUUAUAUAAUGAAAAUUAUAUUAUCUGUUUUCUCGGAUAGAAGUUUAUGUAACCAAUUUGUGGAACUUUCUUGCUAAUAAUAUAUAAAAUAAUUUAUUUUAUAUAUUUAUAACGGCUAUCAAUUAACAAUCAAUUCAGAACUGGCACGGACUUGGGGAAUCCGACUGUCUAAUUAAAACAAAGCAUUGUGAUGGCCCUAACGGGUGUUGACACAAUGUGAUUUCUGCCCAGUGCUC